UGAGUAAUGCAUCGGAACGUGCCCAAUCGUGGGGGAUAACGCAGCGAAAGCUGUGCUAAUACCGCAUACGAUCUACGGAUGAAAGCGGGGGACCUUCGGGCCUCGCGCGAUUGGAGCGGCCGAUGUUAGAUUAGGUAGUUGGUGGGGUAACGGCCUACCAAGCCUACGAUCUAUAGCUGGUUUUAGAGGAUGAUCAGCAACACUGGGACUGAGACACGGCCCAGACUCCUACGGGAGGCAGCAGUGGGGAAUCUUAGACAAUGGGGGCAACCCUGAUCUAGCCAUGCCGCGUGAGUGAUGAAGGCCUUAGGGUCGUAAAGCUCUUUCGCCUGUGGAUGAUAAUGACAGUAGCAGGUAAAGAAACCCCGGCUAACUCCGUGCCAGCAGCCGCGGUAAUACGGAGGGGGUUAGCGUUGUUCGGAAUUACUGGGCGUAAAGCGCGCGUAGGCGGAUUAGAAAGUUGGGGGUGAAAUCCCGGGGCUCAACCUCGGAACUGCCUCCAAAACUGCUAGUCUAGAGUUCGAGAGAGGUGAGUGGAAUUCCGAGUGUAGAGGUGAAAUU
rnacentral:rRNA from 1 species